AUGAGUGGGGCCCGCGUGGUGCCAGGGGCCGCGGGCUAUGGGCGAGGCCCGGGGUCUGCGGGUAAACGCGCUGCCCCCGCUGCCCAAGAGACUGGGCAAGCUGCUGCACUUGGCAUCGGGCGGCGGCGUGAUCAGGGGCUGGCGGCACCUGGAGCGGCUGUAGGCGCAGAAGUCGCGUAUCCAGGACGAGCUGGGCCUCGGGGACGCCGGGGGCGGCAGCACUGCCAGCCAAGCCUCCCAACCUGGACGCCGCGCUCGCGCUGCUCCGCGAGGAGAUGGUUGGUCUCCGCCAGCUGGACAUGUCCUUGCUCUGCCAACUGUGCAGCGUUUACGAGUCGAUUCAGGAGUACGAGCAGAUGUGCCAGGCAGCCUCCAGCCCAGACUGCACUUACGCUCUGGAGAAUGGCUUCUUUGAUGAAGAGGAAGACUAUUUCCAGCAGCAGAACUCCCUGCGUGGUAGGAGGGACCGAGGGCCUCCUUGGGACUUGUCACUGCCUGCCUCCUCCCUCUCCAGCACUGACUGGAUUCUGGAGUCCAUCUAGAGGGUCUUGGGAGGGAUGUGACUGUUGAG